GACAGAGGUGCCGAGCGUUAGGCGGAAUCACUGGGCUUAAAGCGUGUGUAGGCGGGCGGGCAAGUACCUUGUGAAAUCCCACGGCUCAACCGUGGAACGGCUGGGUAUACUGCCUGUCUUGAGCCAACUAGGGGCGAGCUGAACAGACGGUGGAGCGGUGAAAUGCGUAGAUAUCGGGAGGAACACCGGUGGCGAAGGCGGUUCUCUGGGCCUUACCUGACGCUGAGGAGCGAAAGCGUGGGGAGCGAACAGG
rnacentral:rRNA from 1 species